UACGUAGGGUGCAAGCGUUGUCCGGAAUUACUGGGCGUAAAGAGCGCGCAGGCGGUCGUUCAAGUCGAGUGUGAAAGCCCCCGGCUCAACUGGGGAGGGUCACUCGAUACUGAUCGACUUGAAGGCAGGAGAGGGAAGCGGAAUUCCCGGUGUAGUGGUGAAAUGCGUAGAUAUCGGGAGGAACACCAGUGGCGAAGGCGGCUUCCUGGCCUGCUCUUGACGCUGAGGCGCGAAAGCUAGGGUAGCAAACGGGG
rnacentral:rRNA from 1 species